UACGUAGGGUGCAAGCGUUAAUCGGAAUUACUGGGCGUAAAGCGUGCGCAGGCGGUUUUGUAAGUCUGUCGUGAAAUCCCCGGGCUCAACCUGGGAAUUGCGAUGGAGACUGCAAGGCUAGAAUCUGGCAGAGGGGGGGUAGAAUUCCACGUGUAGCAGUGAAAUGCGUAGAGAUGUGGAGGAACACCGAUGGCGAAGGCAGCCCCCUGGGAUAACACUGACGCUCAUGCACGAAAGCGUGGGGAGCAAACAGG
rnacentral:rRNA from 1 species